GUCGUGAGAUGUUGGGUUAAGUCCCGCAACGAGCGCAACCCCCGCUCCCAGUUGCCAGCGCGUUAUGGCGGGGACUCUGGGAGGACUGCCGGUGCUAAACCGGAGGAAGGUGGGGACGACGUCAAGUCAUCAUGGUCCUUACGUCUAGGGCUACACACGUGCUACAAUGGCCGGUACAGUGGGCUGCGAGCUAGCGAUAGCAAGCCAAUCCCUUAAAGCCGGCCUCAGUGCGGAUUGGAGGCUGCAACUCGCCUCCAUGAAGCUGGAAUCGCUAGUAAUCGUGGAUCAGCUACGCCACGGUGAAUACGUUCCCGGGCCUUGUACACACCGCCCGUCACGCCAUGGAAGCUGUGAGCGCCCGAAGUCCGUGUCGGAACCCGCAAGGGGCCAAGCGGCCGAAGGCGAGCGCAGUGACUGGGGCGAAGUCGUAACAAGGUAGCCGUAGGGGGACCUGCGGCUGGAUCACCUCCUUAACGGAUACACGAGUAGAGAAUCGAAACCACGAGAGUGGCCGAGACGAUCGAAAGUUUUCCCGGAAGUCGCUUCGCCUUGCAUAUCCCAUCUCAAAAUCGAUGUAGUUUGUAGUGAUGCCGUCACCACGGUGUAACUGUGGUGAUCGGCGUUGUUUCAAAGGGUUUCGAUAGACCGCUAUUUGACAACAGAAGUUCGGUAGAUCGUGGGAAAUGGAAUCAUCAACGAGCAACGCGUUCGUGGAUCCCUUCGGGGGUUCGGGGGCGUGUCUGCAACGAGCAAGCGAGCUGAUUCGAAAGAAUUGGAAACGAUGCUCACUCGAAAACACCAAGAACAAACAAGAACAACAAGAUCAUUGAGUUGAUCGCGCGAGAUUCUGCUUGAGGGCAGCGGAGAAGGAUGACGAGUGGCGGACGAAGCGGGCCAGGGGAUCGGUCCAGGACGCUCGGCACGCGUUACCGGUUUUGUUGUAGUCAAGCGAACGACAGCAUGUGGGGGAUGCCUGGGCACACAGAGGCGAUGAAGGCCGUGGUAAGCUGCGAUAAGCCAAGGGGAGCGGCACACACGCAUUGAUCCUUGGAUGG
rnacentral:sRNA from 1 species